UCAGAUUCGUCCCCCAAUCCAACCCAAAACCGACCCCCUGAAUCAGCCCCGCACCUCAUUUGCCUCCCCGCGAAUGCGCCACCGCCGCCCACUCCCCGCCGACCGGCCGGCCAGCCAGUCGACAGCGGCCCCCGGAUCCGAUGGACACGGGCGGAGAUCCUCCGUGCUACCGCCGGCUCAGGAAGGCCUCCGAUCUCGGCACCGCCGCCGCCCGCCCACCCCCAAAACGUUUCCAAUGCCCGGUGCUAGAGUCUCGCAGAAGAAUGUGACGGCAACCAUCGUCCGGAUUAACUGAUUCAGUAUGUAUGCGCAAACUUGCCCUUGUAAGGCAAGGCAAUUCAGAGACCAGUGGGUGGCAACCACAACUGAUUCAUGCAAUGGCAGAAUGGAUAUAGAGCAAGGGGUUGGCUCAGUUCUACGCGGCACAAUUCAUUGCGACGUGAACACCGAACUGUAACGUUGUCAUCGUUCUCACUGGUGAGGAAAUCAGGUGGCCUUCUCACCUCCAUUUGUUUUCAUUGUUGCUAGGUUCCCGUGGCACCUGCACACAACCAGGUGACCUUCUCACUCUAACUAGGAUUGAAGCACAUAAUAUAUUCUUUCGGAACUAAACCCGUCUCAAGGUAAAUACUAUAGGAAGCACUCCAUAUGUUCAUGCCAUCCCUGAAUAUAGUAAUAUACUAGAUUUAUAUUUUGAUGUGUAUAUAUGCGGUAUGCCUGUUCUAUAAAGAUCAGUGUGAAGAGUGUUUGUUCAUUGGAACAUGUUUUUCUUCUUGAUUUAGUGUCUUAGUAAAAUAUAACUAUCUAGAAAGUAUUUUAUAGGAGGCCACAUUCAGACUGCUGUAGUAAAUUCUUCAUAGCCUUACCAUGAUGGUUGGAGUUUAGCUCACGCAUGAGGCAUACUUAUUAUUUCUCCCACAGCCAUGUCCUUUGGUGAGCUCUUGAUCACCCUUUCCUUUUUCUAUUCCCCGACCUAGGCCAUCGAGCUAUGGCUGUUUAGAUGUUUGGCAGGUAGUUGCUGUUUCUACAUGUAGCAGAUUUAAUUCUAAUUGUCUUUUGUAUGAUGUGUAUUUGCAUGGUUGCCAGUUAACUGUGAAAUUAUCUUUGACAACCUUAAUCAACUGCUGAAGAAGAUAAAGAGGUUGGUUUAUCUCUAUUGUACAGUCAUGAUAGUGCAAAUGAACCCAUGCUGAACAACUCAUACUGUUGUUAUGUGCGUUAAGUUGUAACGCACAGGUAAUGUACAUACACUGCAUUCCAUACAUGCUUUCAAAAUUUCAAAUGUUUUUGGUUCAGCAACAACUAGUCACAAUCAAAAUCUUUUACGCAGUAAUGAUCGUUUGAUGCCGCCGGUUGAUACGAUCGUUGAUAUUGUCUUCACCUUUUUGCGAGUACGGUGACCAAGCAGGAGAGAUAACACAGGACUACCUCCACGCCACCGAAAACGUUCUUCAAGCAGGAGAGAUAUCGCAUGACUACCACAGCCUGGUGGGUGUCGUGCUCUUCAACCCCUCAGAGGCAGAUUUCGCCGUGAAGCCUGGAGACUGCAUCGCGCAGAUGAUCGUUCAGGUGAUUGCGACGCCAGAGGUCGCCGAGGUGGAGGACCUCGACGCCAAUGCCACCGUCCGGGGUGAGGGAGGGUUCGGGUCCACCGGAGUUUGAACUCCAAGUCUUGGUAGCUACAUUUAGAGAAGUGGUCUGGUUCUUUGCGUGUGAUGUUAAAUGGGAUCACGUGAUCUUUUUUGAUUUGAGAUGUUCAAUGUUGCAUCCAUGAAUGCUGCAAGUGCUAAGAUGGUUACGUGAAGGUCA